GAUGAACGCUGGCGGCGUGCCUAAUACAUGCAAGUCGAGCGAACAGAUAAGGAGCUUGCUCCUUUGACGUUAGCGGCGGACGGGUGAGUAACACGUGGGUAACCUACCUAUAAGACUGGGAUAACUUCGGGAAACCGGAGCUAAUACCGGAUAAUAUUUCGAACCGCAUGGUUCGAUAGUGAAAGAUGGUUUUGCUAUCACUUAUAGAUGGACCCGCGCCGUAUUAGCUAGUUGGUAAGGUAACGGCUUACCAAGGCGACGAUACGUAGCCGACCUGAGCGGGGGAUCGGGCAAACUGGAACUGAGACACGGUCCAGAAUCCUAAGGGAGGGAGCAGUAGGGAAUCUUCCGCAAAGGGCGAAAGGAUGAAGGAGCAAAGCCGCGUGAGGGAUGAAGGUCUUCGGAUCGGAAAACUCUGUUAUUAGGGAAGAAAAAAAGUGUAAGGAACUGAGGACGGCUUGACGGUAACUAAUCAGAAAGCCACGGCUAACUACGUG
rnacentral:rRNA from 1 species